rnacentral:tRNA from 1 species
GCAGGGAGUAGCUCAGUUGGUAGAGCGCAACCUUGCCAAGGUUGAGGUCGAGAGUUCGAGACUCUUCUCCCGCUCCA